UCCUUUCCUCCCUCCUCCCCUCCCUCCUCCUGUUCUUCCUGCCGUCCCUCAGAUGCAGCAGCCAUCACAGAGGUUUACAAAGUGUUAACGGCCUUCCAAUCUGGUGGGGCCAGCGCAAGUUUACAAGGAAGCCGGAGUGCCCUAAUUGAGGUGGAAGGGUCAGGAAGCCCCUCCUUCGGGCCACUGUUGUCUUGCUAUAAAACACUCCGUAAUCCGUAAAGAGCUGGCUGGCUGAACCAGGAGCAUUUUUUUCCCCCUCUCUAAUUGGGCGCUUCCAAACUUCACCACAGGGGGUGCUAAAUUGUCGUCGGUGCUUUCUGUUUUAUUUGUGUCAACAGGGGCAGGAAACGCAUGGUCGUUAUGUGGGGCGUAAUGUAAAGUCAAUUCCGCGUGCCUCAUUUGGUAUGUAGGUAGGUAAGUGUUGGGUUUCAUCUGCUUUAGGAGACGGCGGCGGGCCUAAUUGGGGACACGCAUUUAGGAAACGGUCAGUUAGCAUUUUAUCCCAAGUCCACACUCUCGGGCGCACACCGCGACCUGUGCUUCAAUCAGCCCCAGAGGUUUUGUUCGUUAGCAUAAAGCGCGUUAGGAAUGAGUUCGCGCUCCUGAACGUAGUGGCUUUCGAGAGGGGUGUCUUGGCUGCGAACAGGAGCGGGGCUCCAGCCGGUGCAGGUGCAGAGGUGGAAAACCUGGCCCGCCCUGCGGUUUGUUCUGGUAGGAAUGGCACGCGGGCUUGAUGCCUAAGUGAUCCUGCGCGAAUCCAGCCGCGGAUUUGGUGGACUUUGCGCCCCUGGAGUUCGACCAGAAGGUUAGAGAAGCCCGCCCGCAGGAAUCCCCUCGUAGUUGCCUCAGGCAGACUUUUCUCUGCGAGGCAGAGGCAGGCGCAGUUGGAGCUCUUAAAAAGAGGGCGGGAACUUCACGGGAUUUCCAGAACAAGUGGUAUGACUGCUUUGCUCAGCUUGCUCCGAACUUGGCUGAGGACUUCGUUUCAUGGUAUGAUCAGGAUCUAAUACUUGUGUCCUCUGUCAUAAGAAGUUGCCAGAACUAACACGAGUCGUAGACCUUUCGAUCUGACUGUACCAGGAAACUGCUCAAGUUUCCCCAGGCUGUCUCCAGGCAAAUUGUUUCUUUCUACCUCCUCUCCCCGACCGUGCCUAGUUCAGAGAUUCUAAACGCCUUUGGGUCUCCGGAAAAUCCAAGAAUCUGAUAGAAGCUGCCACGUUCUCCCUGCCUCCACACCCCAAAUGUACAUGUGCAGCGAUACAAUUAGGUUUCCUUAUGAUUCGGAGGGUUCCUGGAUACCCUGGCACCUCUCCAUGGACCCCAGAAUGGGGGUCCCUCACAUCGCAGAGCCUCCCGGCAUUGGCUCAGAGUUCAUUGUUAGUCACCUCCUUUCCUACUCAGUGCACUCAAGGGGAAAGUGAGCUUGUUACAAAAACCA